GACGAACGCUGGCGGCGUGCUUAACACAUGCAAGUCGAACGGCAAGGCCCUGCUUUUGUGGGGUGCUCGAGUGGCGAACGGGUGAGUAACACGUGAGUAACCUGCCCUUGACUUUGGGAUAACUUCAGGAAACUGGGGCUAAUACCGGAUAGGAGCUCCUGCUGCAUGGUGGGGGUUCGAAAGUUUCGGCGGUUGGGGAUGGACUCGCGGCUUAUCAGCUUGUUGGUGGGGUAGUGGCUUACCAAGGCUUUGACGGGUAGCCGGCCUGAGAGGGUGACCGGCCACAUUGGGACUGAGAUACGGCCCAGACUCCUACGGGAGGCAGCAGUGGGGAAUAUUGCACAAUGGGCGGAAGCCUGAUGCAGCAACGCCGCGUGCGGGAUGACGGCCUUCGGGUUGUAUACCGCUUUCGCCUGUGACGAAGCGUGAGUGACGGUAAUGGGUAAAGAAGCACCGGCUAACUACGUG
rnacentral:rRNA from 1 species